GAAAAUAAAGUUAAUAUUGGAGGAAUCUGGGUUUACCGAAAUUUUAAAAUGGCAUGUUCCACGUAGUCGUGAUAUGAUAUUUCUGAUUAUAUUUUUGAUGGCUUAAGGCUGGAUUCAAAUCUCCAUAGGUCAAUGAAAAGACAUUCAACAACUUUAUUUGGAUCUGAAUUUGUUCCUAAAGCUCUAGUAUGGAAAGGGAAGAAUUGAUAAGACAAAUAGCAACCAGCUUCACUGCAAAGCUCAUAUAUUUUAAAUGCACAUAAAUUUUUUCUUUGUCACCUUCAGCUGCGUACCCACUUUAUUGACACCAAGAGUCAGUGCAGAUUACUGUUGUAUCAAGCAACCAAUUUUCCCCACAUGAAGGCAAUUGCAUUUGCACACACUGGCUGCAUCCUCAGCUGAAAAGCAUUGGGAACAUACCCUGGUACGAUCAUUUCUGAUUCAAUUUACACCCAUCCUACAGGGCUGUGAAUAAUUAUGCCAAGCACUGGGAGGAGAAAAAUUAUCUUACUCUUUCCUGAGCAAAUAUGAAGAUAUCUGUGAUAAUUCCAAUCAGCAUUUCCCUGAAUACAGGAAAAUAAUUACCAAUCUUAGCAGUAGGUGAGUGUCAGGAAUAGGUAAUUUUAACACCUUCCUUGCAAAAACAGUUUCUGAAUAGGAAGGGAUGGCAUUUGUACAAGGUGGGAAGCCAGUAAAUAUGUAAUCAGAACUAAUUCUUGAUGAAGGAGACUGUGUCUAACCAUGUUGACCAGGGAGGAGAGGACUGCUGCCUUCACAGGUAACGUUAUUUAGAUUUACACCAGGACAAUGAAAGAAAAAGUGGAGAGAUGGGAGAAACGGGAGGGUCCCUCUCCAUACAGCAAGACACAUCCAGAGGAGGGAAAGGAACAACGCUGUGAUGCGUGAGCUGCUGCCCUGACACACAUAGGUAUGUGGAUAGUUUUAACUUGAGCUUCUCAGUGCAGAUCAAUAAAAGAAACGGGUUUACGUUCUGGCCUCUGAACACAAGGAUGACCAGAGCAUUGCCUACACCCAGACAGGUCGAGGUGGUUUCCCUGGGGCACUGAGGAGAGGGGUUUGAUGCCCUGCGUAGUCAACAGGAAUCUGAACAUCAAAAGUAUUUGCCAGUAUGUUUGCAGAACAUAUGUAUAAGAUAAAAAUACAUGCAAGCUUUUUAGCACUUCCAUUUUCCACGGAAGUUUAGAAGACAUAAUACAUGUCACAUCGCAGCAGGCACCGCGUCGGCCUCUUUCUGCCAUCUCACUGAAGAGACAAAACACAAUAAUCAAGGCAGAGAAGUAAAUACAGAGAAUAAUUUGUUCCAGAACUGCCCAGAGCAGAUGCUCGCCCUGAGCAGACACAGUGACCGCUGCCCAGGAAAAACCCUUUCCCCACCAAGCUUUCUUUCCCCCUGUUGAAGACAGCAAAUGUUUCAGAGAUAUUUAUGGGAGAUGUUUUGGCAACAACAGCCUCGAGCAGCUUACGGGGCUACACCCAGAGGGAAAGUUGUACUCAGAUUACCGUGUUUCUCAGCAAAACGCUACAUGUCCUUUAAGAUCACUGUUGUACCUCAAUGUAAAAAAAAAAGAGAGCUUUGCAGCAAUUCCUAUUCUGAACUGGUACAGUUUUCAAAUUACAGACUGAGAAAGCAGGUGGAGGCUGUGAAGCCUCCUCGGCCUGAGGACUAACUUUUCUCCACUCAACUGUUGUCUACACUUAAUCAUCCUUAUUAGACCUUCAGUGCACACAAGCAACAUGGUCAAUUUGCUAGGAAAAUAUAAUUUGCCUUCUAUUUAUUAGUGUUUUUAUGUUCGUUUACAUGUUCAUUAACUUAAAAGGAAUAAACACUUGGGUGAUAUUGCUGCCCAAAUAACCCUGAAACUUAAGGGAGCAGAUUGCCUGUGACCUAAACAGUCCUGGUGAAAGAAAAGGUCCAGGACCAUUGAUUUUUUGGGACCGGUGUGGAUCCCUGCACAUUUCAGAGCAGCCUCAGCAUAGUCCCUUGCUGCUUGAGGUUGUACACCUCAUUCUGACAGCUCAGGACUACAGGAUGCAUCCCUUCCCACAAGAUAUGUCCUCUAACCCAGAGAAUGGUGUGGGAGUAGUCUGAAAUCAUAUAAAGCUAUCACUAUCGGUUCUCUGCAGCACUAAAAGAAAAACAGGAGGCAUUUCAUGCUGUAUAGCAAAUUCAGGCAUCUUUUCUGUCUGUGUGGUAAUAUGGUCCUCAGUACAAGAUCCCUGGUGUAUUAACCAGUUCCUUGCAUGGGCACAGAAGAGCAGCCAAGAGCACUGGAAAUAAAACCCCAAUAAAACUGCUCUACCUGCACCAAGCCCUCCUGCAUUAAGUCAAAUCAGACUUCUCCCCAGAUGCAAUAGGAUCAGCUGGCAUUGCUGACACGUUCUGAGACUGAGUUUUGUAUGAUUUCCUAUGCAUUGAGAGUGACAUCCUCUCAAAUUUAUGAACUUUCAUUCUAGGAAUUCUCAGCUGUAGGAUUUCUAGAACAAACCUACUUGUUUUAGGGAUCCCUUUGUUUUUUUUCCUAAGUAAAAGCUGUUAAUGACACAUUAACAUUUCCAGACCUCUGCGUGUAGACGCCAGAACAUACAAAGGAUGAAAAGCCCAACUGGGGAUCUGCAGGCCUGCGACCUAUCUUGUAAACAAUGUGACAAGCUAAUCUGUAUUUUUUCCAUCAGACGCUAAGACAGGCUGACCUCUGUGCUUGAGUUGGUGGGAAGAAACACAGAGAGCGAGCACUGUGUGGGUGCUGGAGAGUACGGUUGUUUCUCCAGAAUAAUCCUCUCCUGAUGGCACACAAAAGGUCUUGAAGAGCAUCAGACCCAUAGCUGCCUGCUAUUCUGCCUGGAACUAGAGCUCUCAACCUUAACCAAGUGGCCAGGUGCCAACAGGAUUGGUGGCAUUACUGCUAGCUGUGAGUUUUGACGGCAAAAAUGAACCUGAGAAAAGGCACAACUGAAGUCACACGCGAAAAAAAAGCAGGCUGGUGGCUGAAAACAUCUCAUCAGCAUCUGAAGACUGCAAAGAGUGGUCUGUGGGACUUUUGAAGAUGAUCAAACAAAGGAGAGAUAUUUGCGGCUUCUAAUAUAUAUGACAGACUCCUGGCCCUUCCCACUGCCUUCUGGGAGGGUUUGCUGGUGCAACAGUGGGGCAGCACGGCCGUAAGAGGUCUAAAACCCAGUCAAUAAACUUGGAUAACUGAAGUGGUGAAUGAAGUUUAUCAAGUCUUCAAAAUAUAAUUCAUACUUUGUGCUUUGUUUGCUUAUGCUUAUUUAGCUCUUACUAUAAAACUCUAUUUUGUAUCUGAUGUAAGGUAGUUUCCAUCAUACUAUAACAAAUGACAUGGAUUUAGUGACAGAAAUUUUUUACCGUGAGGGUGCUGAGGCACUGGAACAGGUUGCCCAGGGAAGCCCCGUUCCUGGAGGUGCUUAAGGCCCAGGUGGGAUGAGGCUUUGAGCAGCCUAAUCCAGUGGAAGGUGUCUCUGCCGUGGCAGGGGGGAUGGAACUAGAUCAUCUCUUAAGUUCCUUACAACCCAAAUAAUUCUAUGAUUCUAUAAAUCAGUAUUCUCCAGUGCAAAGCAUGCCAAGAGCCCUGAGAUGAGGACUGCAUCCAGCUUUCCUGCACCAAAUCUCACUCUCCAGGGAGCAAAAUACAUGUGCUUCCCAGUCUUGAGGCCAUAAAAGAUUUCUUUUCCCACAUCAUAUUUACAGAGGUGCUAUUGUGAGGGAGCUUCUCAAAGAAAAACGUUUUAUUCACUGGAUAUCGAGUCUGUUUACCACUGUGGCAAUAAAACAACCUGAUCAACUUGAAUUGAGAAAUCACAGAGUUUGGAUGCAUUGCAUGUAGCUGUUGCGCAGACAAGCUUUCGUUCGCAACCAGCCCAGCUGGUGAGGGCAAAGUCAAACGGCAAGUCCACACCUGAAACUGCUGAGAAUACCAACCUGGGACUCACAAAUACCACCUCUCUACCUGUCACUUCUCUCC